UAUUCUGUAAGACCCCCUUUUGGGUACCCCCACUCUAGUCUCGGGAGUGAGAGAGCACCCAAAGAAACAUGAGAAUCC
rnacentral:pre_miRNA from 7 species